GUCGAACGAACUUAACUCAUUCUUUUAGAUUGAGAGCGGUUAGUGGCGGACUGGUGAGUAACGCGUAAGUAACCUGCCUGUUAGAGGGGAAUAACAAUGAGAAAUCAUUGCUAAUACCGCAUAUGCCAUAAUUAUCACAUGAUAAUAGUGGGAAAGGAGCAAUUCGCUAACAGAUGGACUUGCGUCUGAUUAGAUAGUUGGUGGGGUAACGGCCUACCAAGUCGACGAUCAGUAGCCGGACUGAGAGGUUGAACGGCCACAUUGGGACUGAGAUACGGCCCAGACUCCUACGGGAGGCAGCAGUCGGGAAUAUUGCGCAAUGGAGGAAACUCUGACGCAGUGACGCCGCGUAUAGGAAGAAGGUUUUCGGAUUGUAAACUAUUGUCGUUAGGGAAGAGAAUGGACAGUACCUAAGGAGGAAGCUCCGGCUAACUACGUGCCAGCAGCCGCGGUAAUACGUAGGGAGCGAGCGUUAUCCGGAAUUAUUGGGUGUAAAGGGUGCGUAGACGGGAAUACAAGUUAGUUGUGAAAUCCCUCGGCUUAACUGAGGAACUGCAACUAAAACUAUAUUUCUUGAGUGCAGGAGAGGUAAGUGGAAUUCCUAGUGUAGCGGUGAAAUGCGUAGAUAUUAGGAGGAACACCAGUGGCGAAGGCGACUUACUGGACUGUAACUGACGUUGAGGCACGAAAGUGUGGGGAGCAAACAGGAUUAGAUACCCUGGUAGUCCACACUGUAAACGAUGGAUACUAGGUGUAGGUUAUAUU
rnacentral:rRNA from 1 species